AGAGUUUGAUCCUGGCUCAGGAUUAACGCUGGCGGCAUGCCUAAUGCAUGCAAGUAGAACGAGUCUCGCAAGAGACUAGUUGCGAACGGCUGAGUAAUGAAUAGGAAUCUCCCUUUUGGCGCGGAAUACCUCAUCGAAAGAUGAGCUAAUACCGCAUAAGACCUACGGGUGAAAGCAUUUAACUAUGCACCGAAAGAUGAGCCUAUUUCCCAUCAGGCUGUUGGUAGGGUAAUGGCCUACCAAACCUAUGACGGGUAGGGGGCGUGAGAGCGCGUUCCCCCAGAAUGGGACUGAGACACGGCCCAUACACCUACGGGUGGCAGCAACAGGGAAUCGUACACAAUGGACGAAAGUCUGAUGUCGCAAUGCCGCGUGGAGGAUGAAGGCCUUCGGGUCGUAAACUCCUUUUACAGUAAUAGAGAUGUUAUUGAGAAUAAGCACCUGCUAACUCUGUGCCAGCAGCCGCGGUAAUACAGAGGGUGCAAGCGUUAUCCGGAUUUAUUGGGCGUAAAGCGUUUCGUAGGUUUCCAGAAAAGUUAAUUUUCAAAGACCACGGCUCAACCGGGGGAAGGGAGUUAAUACUGUCUGGAUUGAAAUAUGGUGGGGCUUCUGGAACUGAUGGUGUAGUAGUGAAAUACGUUGAUAUCAUCAGGAACUCCGAGGGCGAAGGCGGGAAGCUAACCAUUUUUUGACACUGAGGAACGACAGCUAGGGGAGCGAAAGGGAUUAGAGACCCCUGUAGUCCUAGCCGUAAACUUUGCUCGCUAGGGGUUACCAGUUUACUGAUAG
rnacentral:rRNA from 1 species